rfam:Niastella populi strain 208 contig90, whole genome shotgun sequence.
GGAGGCAGGCCCUCCGGUGGCGACUGGCAAGAGUAGCCACCAAACAACCCUAAGCUGCAUAGGUCAAAAGCCUGUGUGGUGAGCGUUAGGGAAAAGGCCGCCGGUAAACCGGGGUCAUG